GAAGUUUCCCCAGAAAAUCUGAGCCAAGUAAUGCUUACAUUUUCUAGGAGGUUGAGAUAAUUUCAAAACCUUUUCUAAGACAUAGAUUUAUUCCAGAACCUUUAAAUUCUGCCAACCUUUCCCCAGAUUGGAUUUAAAUAUUGGAAAUGGCUUGUUUAUUUUAAGAGGCAUCCAUAUUGAGUUAAUCUGUUACAUUGCUGUCUCGAGGAACUGUUCAGGCUGGACUUAAUCCGUCCUCAGGACAUUGGGUGUGGUAAGAAUCCAAACACUUCGGUAGAGUGGGGUACAGAAAUCUGUUGGCCUUAGCAUAUUUCUGUCUACAGUUUGUCCUUCAUUUGGAAAAUGUGUAAUAUACAUCCAGGAAAUUGCUUAAUGAAUUUCCCACUGAGUACCUAAUCAUUACUGUUAUAGAUUAGGCAGCAGUAAGCAUCUUAUGGAAAAGGAAAUUGUUUUAAUUUCUAAAAGUGAAAAAGGUUUAAAUAUUAUGUAUAUGGUAUAAGCAUCAUGUGUAUUAAUUUAUUGGAUACUGUGAGUGUAUGUGUAAGAAUAAAUAAACUUUUCCAAC
rnacentral:lncRNA from 1 species